UCUGGAAUGGCAGAUCAUUGCAUGAGAUUUAAGCUCUCAAUAGGAAGGUGUCUUCUUCCAGAA
rnacentral:tRNA from 1 species